CUUCACCAGCUCCACCUGUAUCUUCUGUUAUUGUGUCAGUCUCUCUUCCUUCUAUCUCCACUAAUUCCCCUCUGCACCCGCUGUUCUAUGUUUCUUAUUUUCACUUCCCAUCUUUUCUCUCCCUCUUCCAAGCACCCUGUCUUCUCAUUCUGCUCCAUAACUUGCUUUCCAUUGUCUUUCUAAGGGGAAAUUGACAUUACACAAUUGUUCUGGGC